rnacentral:rRNA from 1 species
UACGUAGGGGGCGAGCGUUGUCCGGAUUUAUUGGGCGUAAAGAGCGUGUAGGCGGUUCGGUAAGUCUGUCGUGAAAUCCUGAGGCUCAACCUCGGGCGUGCGAUGGAUACUGCCGGGCUAGAGGGUGGUAGAGGCGACUGGAAUUCCUGGUGUAGCGGUGAAAUGCGCAGAUAUCAGGAGGAACACCGAUGGCGAAGGCAGGUCUCUGGGCCGAUACUGACGCUGAGGAGCGAAAGCGUGGGGAGCGAACAGG